GCGCCCGUAGCUCAGCUGGAUAGAGCGACGGCCUCCGGAGCCGUAGGUCGCAGGUUCGAAUCCUGCCGGGCGCGCCA
rnacentral:tRNA from 1 species